rnacentral:rRNA from 1 species
AUACGAAGGGUGCAAGCGUUACUCGGAAUUACUGGGCGUAAAGCGUGCGUAGGUGGUUCGUUAAGUCUGAUGUGAAAGCCCUGGGCUCAACCUGGGAAUUGCAUUGGAUACUGGCGGGCUGGAGUACGGUAGAGGGUGGCGGAAUUCCUGGUGUAGCAGUGAAAUGCGUAGAUAUCAGGAGGAACAUCCGUGGCGAAGGCGGCCACCUGGACCAGUACUGACACUGAGGCACGAAAGCGUGGGGAGCAAACAGGAUUAGAUACCCUGGUAGUCCACGCCCUAAACGAUGCGAACUGGAUGUUGGGUUCAAUCAGGAACUCAGUAUCGAAGCUAACGCGUUAAGUUCGCCGCCUGGGGAGUACGGUCGCAAGACUGAA